UCCCUAUCACCUGGAACACACACUCUGUCAUGAAAUAUGAGCAACCCAUCGGUAGAGACUCGAAAUUCUAAGUUAACUCCCUGUUCUGCAUCUUUCUUAAGGGCUGCUAGGGUGGAAUCGGCGAACUGAGCUUCAUUUAUUCUCUGGAAUAACUCCGGCUGAGCAGUCAGGUGGCCAAAACAUGUGACUCUCUUCAGGUGCUGAAGUUGUACCUGUGUUUUGAAACCAUCAAAUGAGUUAAGGUACCUGCAUUUUUCCUACUAAGUAC
rnacentral:lncRNA from 1 species